ensembl:lncRNA
GUGGGUGUUAUGCUGAGAAAGGUACAUGCAACGGAAGAAGAACAGAGAAUUUUUCUCCCUUAAUGAUAUGGAGUGAGAUAACUACUUACAGUGCUGACAGAGGCUGCACCAAGCUGGGAGAAACUGCAAGCACAUGGGAAGACGGGAUACACUAAUUCCAGAGUCAUCGUUGUGAUCCUUUGUUGAACUCACUCCUGUAUGUUCAUGGUCUCACCAGUGCUGAGUAAAGGGGAAGGAUCAUAUAUCUGAUCACUGGUUCCUCCUAACUUUGCUUCCUUCAGUGGCUCCUGAAAUGUUUUCCAGAGAGUUUUUAAUGAUAAUAUAAAAUGCAGCUACUUCUCAGAUAAAUAUCCAUCAGAAAUUAAUAACAAAUGCAUCAUGUAGAAGCUCAAUAAGAAGAACCUGCCACCUAUCAUCAUAAAAUGGGAUGCAUUUCAGCAAGAAGACAACAGGAUGUUGACAACAGCAAGAAGACCCAGGAUGUUUCUAAACCUUCGUCAUGUAAUCAUUAAGAUCCACCGAAAAUGCAUAUAUUAUGGGCUGAGCUUCAAAGCUUGGGCUCAUCCAUUCCUUUUCAUGGAAGCACAAGUGUGCUGCAGAAGAUGUCUCUCUCAGAAAACUUUGGCUGUGCUGGAAUAGAGGUGAUCUGUCACACAGCACCCUCUUUGAGGGCUAAGGAUGGUUAACAAGAGAAGAUCCACCCAGUACAGCAGGGCAAGGUGAUGUUUGCCAACAGGCUUCCCAGCCUAGAGAAGUGAGGUUUAGACUCAAAAGUGAGGUACUCUGGCUGUAGUGAGAGGUAGAGGAUGAAGAGAGGUUGGAGCAACAAAAAGCUCAAGAAUAACAAAACUGGGUUUAAAGAGCCCAAAGAGUUUUCCACAAAUGUUUAUACAGUAAAAAGAAGGAAGAUCCAGAGCUCCACAUGUGGUUUCUGAGAUCUGAUACUGUUCAUAUAACUGAAAUGUGGUGGGAUGUCUUGUGCAAAUGCUUGGUUAUGGUGGAACAAAACCAAACGCCUUCUUUAAACAACAUAAGGAAGGCUUUACAUCACACAUCACAUUCUUGUUCCUUGGAGAUUUUAAUAUCCCUAACUUCUGCUGGAAGGACAACACAGAAGGACACAGGCAGUUAUGACGAUUUCUGGGAGAAGUUAGGGAGAACUUCAAGUACAGAGUGUGCCAGCCAGGGAUGAGUCAUGGCUGGGUCAUAUAUAAUUGUCUGAGAAUGUUGGAAAGUUUGGUGGAUAUCAGUCUUGUAGCUUUGGUAAAAAUAAGCCUGAUGAAAACAAGACAAUUUGGCCUAUUGAACCUGGAGAAGACAAGGCUCUAGGGAUUGUUAUCUAAUCUAUUAUCAGCCUUCCAGUUCCAGUGAGUAGCAUUUUGAGAAUAUAUGGUGGGAUGAUGGGAUACUAAGGUGAAACAAGAAAGGCUAAAGCUGGAGCAGAAGAUUGGACUACAGACCUGAGACUCUUUCUAAAUCAAAUGAUCCUGUAGUGAGGGACAAGGAGUAGGAGAUUACUGCAUGCCAGGAUUAAGACACAGAUUUUGUUUUCAGUGAAAUGACACAAGUAUUCCAACAUGUAUUAAUGUAUUUAUUAUUUUAUUAUUGAAUUUAUUCUGCAACUGAAUGCAGAUAUUCUUAAGGCUGUCCAAAGAGUCUGUUAACACAGACACAAAGUCUUUACAUGUAUUAGAUUUUUACUUUGAUAAAUGAGUUUUCAGGAUUAUCCAUUACUUCAGAAGUAGACAACUACCUCUCUACUGGCUUGCUUAGGAUUUGUCUGCUGAGUGUGCUGAGUUCCUGAUUUAGAUGAUCUGUAAGUCCAUGAAUGGAUAAUUUAGUUCAUGGUGAUUAAGAUCUAGGAUUUAAUCAAAACCUGAGCUAGGCUACUUGAUCUCAUUAUGUGGUGAAGACAGACGUUGUGUAGCAGUUAAAACCUUAGAGAGAAAAACUGAAAAUAAUACAAGCAAAUUAGAGGGAAAAUAAAAGACGAAGUGAGGAUUUAAUCUAUUUCUGUACAAAAGUAGGAAUAAGUAAGUGCUGUCUCCUGCCUGUACUGAAAUUCCAAUUAUGUUAUUAUGUUAUGUAUUGUGUUCAUCUAGUGGUUGGGAGGGCCAUUUUACUUUUCAUUUUUAAACUUGAUUGUGAUAAUGUUUUUGUACUUGAAAGACAGUCUGCUGCAGGUAGGAUGUUCCACAUGCAAUGGAUCAGAACUCAAAUCAUUUUAGAAACAAACUAUAACAGACUACAUGUCAGCUUUCUUCCUAAAGAUCUCACAGGGCCUGCUCAUUUCAGAAACUCCUUUUCUCUGUCACUGCACAAUUAGCAAAGCAGCUCAUUAUGAAAUCUUUCAUUGUUAUAAAUAUAAGGAUUAAAAGGUGUUUUGU